UGCCAGCCGCCGCGGUAAUACGGAGGGGGUUAGCGUUGUUUGGAACUACUGGGCGUAAAGCGCACGUAGGCGGAUUAGAAAGUUGGGGGUGAAAUCCCAGGGCUCAACCCUGGAACUGCCUCCAAAACUACUAGUCUUGAGUUCGAGAGAGGUGAGUGGAAUUCCGAGUGUAGAGGUGAAAUUCGUAGAUACUCGGAGGAACACCAGUGGCGAAGGCGGCUCACUGGCUCGAUACUGACGCUGAGGCGCGAAGGCGUGGGUAGCGAACGGGAUUAGAUA
rnacentral:rRNA from 1 species